CCUUCGAUAGCUCAGCUGGUAGAGCGAAGGACUAUAUAUCCUUAGGUCGCUGGUUCGAUUCCGGCUCGAAGGA
rnacentral:tRNA from 1 species